CUACGGGCCGCUCCAGUGAGGAAUAUUGCACAAUGGGGGGAACCCUGAUGCAGCAACGCCGCGUGGAGGAUGACGCAUUUCGGUGUGUAAACUCCUUUUAUAUGUCAAGAAAAUGACGGUAGCAUAUGAAUAAGCACCGGCUAACUCCGUGCCAGCAGCCGCGGUAAUACGGAGGGUGCAAGCGUUACUCGGAAUCACUGGGCGUAAAGGACGCGUAGGCGGGUUGGAAAGUCAGGUGUGAAAUCCUACAGCUUAACUGUAGAACUGCACUGGAAACUUCUAAUCUAGAGUAUGGGAGGGGGAGAUGGAAUUUGUGGUGUAGGGGUAAAAUCCGUAGAUAUCACUAGGAAUACCUAAAGCGAAGGCGAUCUCCUGGAACAUUACUGACGCUAAGGCGUGAAAGCGUGGGGAGCAAACAGGAUUAGAUACCCCCGUAGUC
rnacentral:rRNA from 1 species